rnacentral:rRNA from 1 species
GCCGAACCGUGCGAACGUUGUUCGGAAUCACUGGGCUUAAAGGGCGCGUAGGCGGCCCAUCAAGUCAGGGGUGAAAGCUUCCGGCUCAACCGGAAAAGUGCCUUUGAUACUGGUGGGCUUGAGGGAGGUAGGGGCAGAUGGAACUUCCGGUGGAGCGGUGAAAUGUGUUGAUAUCGGAAGGAACGCCGGUGGCGAAAGCGAUCUGCUGGAUCUCUACUGACGCUGAGGCGCGAAAGCUAGGGUAGCAAACGGG